rnacentral:rRNA from 1 species
GAUGAACGCUGGCGGCGUGCCUAAUACAUGCAAGUCGAGCGAACGGAUGAGAAGCUUGCUUCUCUGAUGUUAGCGGCGGACGGGUGAGUAACACGUGGAUAACCUACCUAUAAUACUGGGAUAACUUCGGGAAACCGGAGCUAAUACCGGAUAAUAUUUUGAACCGCAUGGUUCAAAGGUGAAAGACGGUCUUGCUGUCACUUAUAGAUGGAUCCGCGCUGCAUUAGUUAGUUGGUAAGGUAACGGCUUACCAAGGCAACGAUGCAUAGCCGACCUGAGAGGGGGAUCGGCGACACGGGAGGUGAGCAGCGGCACAGACACCGAGGGGAGGCAGAAGUAGGGACGCUACGGAGAAGGGGGAAAGACUGACGGAGGAGCGCAGGGCGGGUGAAGAAGGGCUGCGUGUCGGAAAACGCUGUUAUUGGGGAAGAACAUAUGUGUAUGUAACGGUGCAUAUCUGGACGGAACCGAAUAAGAAGGCCAGGGCAACUUACGU